rnacentral:tRNA from 1 species
GGGCGCGUAGCUCAGUUGGUUGGCGCAGGGGACCCAUAAUCUCCGCGCCGCAGGUUCGAGUCCUGCCGCGCCCA